CCCUGGAUAGCUCAGUUGAUUAGAUCAUGGUGCUGAUGAUGCCAGGGUUGCAGGUUCAAUCCCUCUCUGUGUGGGA
rnacentral:tRNA from 1 species